CUGUUUCUCUCUAAUAUCUCCUGAUAAAACGGAAACUCACAAAGCCUUAGUGAGAGAAGAAGAAGAAAAAGCAACAGACACAGAUUCUUUACAUGAGCCUAUACAAACUGAACCACUUCACAUUUAACACACGUCCUCUUUCUCUCUCUCUCUCUCUCUCUCUCUUCUGCUUUUUCUCUUUCUCUCUCUCUCUCUGCUUUUUUCCCUCUCUGUCAUAUCUUAUUUUGUCAUUUAUUAAAUCAAAAGUUACAGGUUUCUUGCUUUCUCUUCCAUCUCUCUCUAAAGCUUCUCUCUUUCUUUCAACUCCCACAUAGCUCUUGAAGUUUUAUCAAGAAAAACUGCAGCUUUAGCUACACUUCAGGUUUUGGAAUUUUUCUUGAGGAAAGUCUCGAUUGCAGUAUCCACCCAUUUGAUCUGGGUUAUCUGUGUCUACUGAGAUGGUGGAGGAAUAAACAAAUUUGGGAUGUGAAGGAUCGCUUAUCGGAGCCCAUGAUAAGGUCUUGCAAUGGGGUCUCUAAACAUGGAGAAGAAAUGGGUUUUCCCUCUAGUGAUAAGCUCUCUGAUAUGUGUGUUCCUUUUAGCAACUUCCUUCAACAUGGGUCUUAUCUCUUCAUUACAUACUAUCAAACAAAUCUUCAACAUUUUUCCAUCUCGAAACCAAUCAAUGGAAGGCUAUGCUGAAAUGAAGGUUUCACAAACUCCUCCCUCUGAGACUCCUGGAAUUCCUCGAUUUGCUUAUUUGAUUUCUGGGUCUAAAGGUGAUUUGGAAAAGCUCUGGAGAACUCUUCACGCACUUUAUCAUCCGCGGAAUCAAUAUGUAGUUCAUUUGGACCUUGAGUCUCCAGCAGAGGAAAGAUUGGAGCUUUCUUCGCGAGUGGAAAAACAUCCCCUUUUCUCCAAGGUUGGGAAUGUUUACAUGAUCACCAAAGCUAAUAUGGUUACAUAUAGAGGACCCACCAUGGUUGCUAAUACACUUCAUGCUUGUGCGAUUCUUCUCAAGAGGAGUAAAGAUUGGGAUUGGUUUAUCAAUCUCAGUGCUUCUGAUUAUCCUCUUAUAACUCAAGAUGAUCUUCUUGAUACAUUUUCAACCAUAAACCGAAAUCUGAACUUUAUUGAGCACACAAGUCAGUUGGGUUGGAAGGAGGAAAAACGCGCAAUGCCUUUGGUUAUCGACCCUGGGCUCUACUCAACAACGAAGACAGAUAUAUACUUGGCCACACCACGCAGAGGUUUGCCAACAGCAUUCAAAUUAUUCACUGGUUCAGCAUGGAUGGUUCUUACUCGUUCAUUUGUAGAGUACUUAAUCUGGGGUUGGGAUAAUCUACCAAGAAUUUUACUCAUGUAUUACACAAACUUCGUCUCGUCUCCUGAAGGCUAUUUUCACACUGUAAUAUGCAAUGUGCCAGAGUUUGCUCAGACAGCCGUAAAUCAUGAUUUGCACUACAUUUCUUGGGACAUACCUCCCAAGCAGCAUCCGCACACCCUUUCCCUUAAUGACACGAAGAAAAUGAUUGACAGUGGUGCUGCCUUUGCUAGAAAAUUCAAACGAGACGACCCUGUCUUGGAUAAAAUUGAUAAGGAUUUACUUGGCCGGAAGGAUGGAGGCUUCACUCCCGGUGGGUGGUGCUCUGGUAGUCCCAAAUGUUCCAAGGUUGGUGACCCGAAUAAUAUUAAACCGGGUCCAGGAGCUGACAGAAUUAAACGUCUCAUAGCUAGUGUAGCUUUGUUGUCAAAGCUUGAACAAAAUCAAUGUAAAUAGAUUUUCCCCAAAUUUUCUUGGUUGCAGUUGGAGAAGGACUCAAAAGUUGCCCGCAAGCUGACCACCUUAUCGGAAGAUUCUUAUCUAAGAAAAGGAUUUCGAUAGCAGAGUUGCUGCCACAGUUUCAUUCUUGUCAAGAACUGAAGGGUCAUUACAAUUAUAAGAAAUCCCACUCUUGUUGCAGUGGUCACAAUCUAGUAUAGCACAUUUGCCUCUGAUUUUUUAUGAAUGUGCAAAUCUUCUGAUAAUAACUCAACGACAGGAUUAAUGCAAAUGGAAUCUGCUUUAUUUUGUUCUCUUCACAACAUUUGCAGAUGGAAUUUUGGAUACCCAAAAAGAUUAGUAUGAAUCUCACUGUUGAUAAUAAAAAUAAAUUGAUCAUUAAAAAAAAAAAUUGCUCGAGUAUUCUUAAUAUGCAUAUUUUUAUUAUUUUAAAAUUAAUAAUUUUGAUCUUUUUGUUUUCUUUAAAUUUUAGAUUCUUAUUAUACUUUGCCGCCUCAAAAUUUUAUACUUUUGCUUAUGGCGGUGUAGAUCUACUUCGACAAAUUCAAUUAUUAGUUUUAAUCUCUUAAUUUUUAUUUAUAAUAUUUUAUUUCUUUAAUGAGAUUUUUAUAAUAUAAAGGGAAAUGACAAGAAGGAAAAAGAAUAUAAAU